UUAGUGAUGCAACAUCAAUAGCUUAUUCCUAGGUGGUUGCUCCUCACCAAGUAUGGGCCAAAAAGGAACUCAUUUGCUGCUGGCGUUUAGGGUUGUGCUUUCCUUCAAAGUCCUAGCUGUUGAAAAAAUUGAAUAUAGAUGUUUUCAUGGACGAGAGAAGUAUAAAGAUCAAGAACCAAGUGCAUCGAAUUUGUUUGAGUGCCUCUACA